rnacentral:rRNA from 1 species
CAGCACGCGGUAAUACGGAGGGUGCGAGCGUUAUUCGGAAUUAUUGGGCGUAAAGGGCGUGUAGGCGGCUCAUCAAGUCUGGUGUGAAAUCGCAGGGCUCAACCCUGCAUAUGCGCUGGAAACUGGUGGGCUGGAGUUCUUGAGGGGAAGCUGGAAUUCCAGGUGUAGGGGUGAAAUCUGUAGAUAUCUGGAAGAACACCGGUGGCGAAGGCGAGCUUCUAUCAGAGGACUGACGCUGAGGCGCGAAAGCGUGGGGAGCAAACAGGAUUAGAUACCCUGGUAGUCCACGCUGUAAACGAUGUGCACUAGGCGUGGGGCACGUACGUGUUCUGUGCCGUAGUUAACGUGUUAAGUGCACCGCCUGGGGAGUAUGCUCGCAAGGGUGAAACUCAAAGGAAUUGACGG